CUACGGGGGAUGCAAGCGUUAUUCGGAAUCAUUGGGCGUAAAGGGCACGCAGGCGGUUCUGUCAAUCAGAUGUGAAAGCCCGGGGCUUAACCCCGGACGUGCAUUUGAAACAGCAGGACUUGAGUAUGGUAGAGGAAAGCGGAAUUCCUGGUGUAGAGGUGAAAUUCGUAGAUAUCAGGAGGAACACCGGUGGCGAAGGCGGCUUUCUGGACCAAAACUGACGCUGAGGUGCGAAGGCGUGGGUAGCGAACAGGAUUAGAAACCCUAGUAGUCC
rnacentral:rRNA from 1 species